rnacentral:rRNA from 1 species
CAGUAGCCGCGGUAAUACGAAGGGUGCAAGCGUUACUCGGAAUUACUGGGCGUAAAGGGUGCGUAGGCGGGUUUUUAAGUCAGAGGUGAAAUCCUGGGGCUCAACUCCAGAACUGCCUUUGAUACUGAAAGUCUUGAGUUCGAGAGAGGUGAGUGGAACUGCCAGUGUAGAGGUGAAAUUCGUAGAUAUUCGCAAGAACACCAGUGGCGAAGGCGGCUCACUGGCCCGAUACUGACGCUGAGGCACGAAAGCGUGGGGAGCAAACAGGAUUAGAUACCCCUGUAGUCCCUGUCUCUUAUAC